GAUGAAGAACGUAGCGAAAUGCGAUAAAUAAUGUGAAUUGCAGAAUUCAGUGAAUCAUCGAGUCUUUGAACGCACAUUGCGCCCCCUGGUAUUCCGGGGGGCAUGCCUGUCCGAGCGUCAUUGCUGCCCUCAAGCACGGCUUGUGUGUUGGGCCCCCGUCCCCCCCUCCCGGGGGACGGGCCCGAAAGGCGGCGGCGGCACCGCGUCCGGUCCUCGAGCGUAUGGGGCUUUGUCACCCGCUCUGUAGGCCCGGCCGGCGCCUGCCGACCACCAUCAAUCUUUUUUCAGGUUGACCUCGGAUCAGGUAGGGAUACCCGCUGAACUUAAGCAUAUCAAUAAGCGGAGGA
rnacentral:misc_RNA from 1 species